rnacentral:tRNA from 1 species
UGCGGUGUGGCUCAAUGGUAGAGUGCUCCCUUAGCACGAAUGAGACGCUGGGUUCGAUCCUCAGCACCACAU